rnacentral:misc_RNA from 1 species
CUCCUCUUAAAUGGCCUGUGAGAUACAAGAUAUCUCUUGGCUUGGCCUCAGCAUUGCUCUAUCUUCAUGAAGAGUGGGAGCAGUGUGUGGUACACCGAGAUGUCAAAUCCAGCAAUGUAAUGCUAGACUCUAAUUUUAAUGCCAAGCUGGGUGACUUUGGGUUAGCUCGGCUCACAGACCAUGAAAUUGGUCCCCAAACAACAGGAUUAGCAGGAACUCUAGGUUACUUAGCUCCAGAAUAUAUAAGCACAAGAAGAGCUAGCAAGGAAUCUGAUGUGUACAGCUUUGGAGUGGUUGCGUUAGAGAUUGCCAGUGGAAGAAGGGCAAUUGAUCAUAUUGAACAAGAGAACGAAAUGAAUUUGGUAGAGUGGAUUUGGGAACUUUAUGGACAUGGGAAGCUUCAUUUGGCUGCUGACAAGAAACUUCACAUGGAUUAUGAAGAGAAACAGGUGGAGUGUUUGAUAAUUGUUGGAUUAUGGUGUGCUCACCCUGAUCACAAUUUAAGGCCAUCAAUGAGACAAGCAAUUCAAGUUUUAAAUUUCGAGGUUCCACUCCCAAAUCUACCUGCUAAAAUGCCUG